rnacentral:snoRNA from 1 species
GGGGGCUGCCGCCUGUGGCUGUCUCCCUUCCUAGGCAUGGAAGAGCAGUUCCUUGCUAAUUGGCAAAACUUUUACCCUCUUGUGGGCAUUAGUCGUUGACUGUGGCAAGUAACAAGC